AAUUCUUCAGUAAAGCAUGAAAAGUUGGUGUGUUACUCAUAAACAUUUGACUUGCAGAUGUUCAUUGUGGAAAACUGAAGAUUCUGAAAUCGUCCUGAUUGGUUACUUUGCAAAAGUCAGUCAGUGGCAUGUCAAGUAACAUGGUGCUUUAAUAUACCUACUUCCAAAACAGUUGAAGUGGUUUUGAAUAAUUCUAAAUGUACCUCAACAAACUUCAUGGAUUUGCACAAUAAAAAAAAAAUCCAUAAAUGGGCAACCAAAAAUAGUUGAGGGUCUAAUGUAUUUUGCAAAGUGAAAACAAUACAAGAAAGGGUUUAAUAUUUCUUAUAGUAAAUCUGACUGACUAAUGACAAAUUCUCACUUUUGUAUAUUUGUUUCAUGUGGAAAUUCAGUUUACCAGCAUAAAAAAACCACUUUUUUCUCCAUAUCUCAUGUGAAAAACCAGGCUCCUGAAUGUGGGUUCUAAUGAGAAUAAUUAAGUGACCAAUAUUAAGGAACAUUUUUUCACAGGUUUGGCUUUAAAGUGGCCCCUGACCUAUAUGGGUUUUCAUGUGAAUUAUCAAAUUAUCCUUUUGAUAGAAGCUUUUUUCACAAGACUAGCAAGAAAAAAGUUUCUCACCUGUAUGAAUUCUCUUGUGACGAUUUAAAUUACUAAUUCGUGAGAAACUUUUUCCGCAUGACAGGCAUGAAAAAGGUCUCUCACCUGUAUGAAUUCUCUUGUGGUCCUUUAAAUUACCAAUCUGAGAAAAUCUAUUUCCACAUAUCUGGCAUGAAAAAGGUCUCUCACCUGUAUGAAUUCUCUUGUGGUCCUUUAAAUGACCAAUUCGAGAAAAUCUCUUUCCACAUAUCUGGCAUGAAAAAGGUUUCUCACCUGUAUGAAUUCUCUUGUGACGAUUUAAAAUACUAAUUUGUGAGAAACCUUUGCCACAUGUUUCACAUGGAAAAGGUUUCUCACCAGUGUGAGUUCUGUAAUGGAUUUUCAAGUCACACUGUUGUGUGUAACAUUUCCCACAAAUGUCACAUUUGAAAGGUCUUUUCUUUGUGCCAGUAUCAGACUGACUCUCUGACUCAGAGGAGCUGCUUCCUUCCCGAUUUUUGCUCUCAACCACUGGAGAGACACGAAGGGAAAGCUGCUCUGUUCUUGUCUCUUCUUCACUCAUAUCAUCUCCCUGAAGAGUAGAAGUCUCAAUCAAAGCAACAAACUGCUUCUGGACAAGCUGCUCUCCCUCCUGACUGCUGCAGAGGUCCUUCUGGUCCUG